GCCGGAGUAGCUCAGAGGCAGAGCAAUUGUUUUGUAAACAAUAGGUCGUGAGUUCGAUUCUCACCUCCGGCU
rnacentral:tRNA from 2 species